rnacentral:rRNA from 1 species
GACGAACGCUGGCGGCGUGCUUAACACAUGCAAGUCGAACGGUGAACCUCUUCGGAGGGGAUCAGUGGCGAACGGGUGAGUAACACGUGGGCAGCCUGCCCCCGGCUCUGGGAUAACUCCAAGAAAUUGGGGCUAAUACCGGAUGUUCACCGCUUCCCGCAUGGGUGGUGGUGGAAAGGGUUUCCGGCUGGGGAUGGGCCCGCGGCCUAUCAGCUUGUUGGUGGGGUAGUGGCCUACCAAGGCGACGACGGGUAGCCGGCCUGAGAGGGUGACCGGCCACACUGGGACUGAGACACGGCCCAGACUCCUACGGGAGGCAGCAGUGGGGAAUAUUGCGCAAUGGGCGGAAGCCUGACGCAGCGACGCCGCGUGGGGGAUGACGGCCUUCGGGUUGUAAACCUCUUUCAGCAGGGACGAAGCGAAAGUGACGGUACCUGCAGAAGAAGCACCGGCCAACUACGUG